rnacentral:rRNA from 1 species
UACGUAGGGGGCAAGCGUUGUCCGGAUUUAUUGGGCGUAAAGAGCGUGUAGGCGGCCAGACAGGUCCGUUGUGAAAACUAGAGGCUUAACCUCUAGACGUCGAUGGAAACCGUCUGGCUAGAGUCCGGAAGAGGAGAAUGGAAUUCCUGGUGUAGCGGUGAAAUGCGUAGAUAUCGAGAGGAACACCAGUGGCGAAGGCGAGUCUCUGGACGACUCCUGACA